GGUUUGAGGGUAUUAAAGUUAGUAACUAAUUUUGUUAUGUUAGUCAUGCUGAAUUGUGUUGUUGUGUUUCUGCUACAGAUUGCAACUGUCCAUGUUAGCUAGGAUUAUUUCAAUGCCUUAACCUGUUUGCUGCAGAAUUGAGUCGGAGAGGGUGCAUUGAACGGUUGCUGCAACUUGAUGUCGAUAUGUGUUGGGUCUGUUAUGGCAUUGUGUUUCAUGCAAAUGGUUAGCUUGUCUGGCUGCAGGUACAUGUUAGUAGGGUUGAUGCUAGUGUGAAGUUGCUGCCAUGAAUUGAACAUGUGAUGUCAUGUUGUGGUUGCUCGAUGACAGUAUCCUGUCACUUGUAAAAAUGAGGCAUCCAUGUGAGCAUGAGUCGUUAUCUUUGAUGUUGGAUGCAUUCACGUACAAACACCCUGUCAUUGUGAGUUAUUGAUGUGUGCCUUGCAGGUUAUGAUGUGGGCUUGUUGAUGGGAUGGACUGUCAUGCCAAAGUGUUGGUCCAUAGUGAUCAUGAAGUGUAGUAUUUGGAACAUGUCAUGUAGCAUAAAAGCUAGUGUAGGAUUAGGACCUUUUUGUAAGAACAACAUGUAAUG
rnacentral:lncRNA from 1 species